GUUUCUCUCCUCAGAUGCCUCCUGCCUUACCUAAGAGGGCUGCUGGACUUCCUGCCAGCCAACCUCCAGGUAAGAAGGUUCACAAACCUUUCAUUUCAUUAAAUUUACCCCGUUUUGUUUUAAACAUUUUAGCUACGUGUGAUUUUCUGGAUGUGAUCUGGUCAGUUUUUAUUUGAAUGAAUCUCUUGUGAUUAUGUCUGAUCAGAUCUAUUCCAACUUUAUUUGGAUGAAUUUUCUUCGACUGUAUUUUGUGUGAUUCUGUCUGAGCUCGGUUCUUGUCGGUGGGACUCUUGUCAGGGUGCCCGUCAGAGGUGUGGGCGGAUCUGGGGGGCAUUGUGGGAAACCUCCUGUGGUGCCCCCCCUCACAGUGAAGCUCCGCUCUGUCAGAAGGUGAACAGGAUGCAGACGGCAUGUCACAGAGAAGCAACAUGUGCGUCUGUAUCCCACCCUGGACCCACAGUGGAGUCCACAGUGACAAGAUCACAGUUCAGGAGAGUCACACUGGGAUUAAAAGGGGUGGUUAAAUGUGUUAUUUAAGAUAGUAAGUGUAGUGUGAGGGUGAAAGUCUCGCUGCCAGAGGGAAGUUUCCAGGAGAGGUACGUAAGGAUCCCUGUGAAUGCUGCUGCAUGAAACGGUGAGUUUUGGAUUUUGACUUUGCAUUCAUAUAUCUAAUAUUUUUGAAAUCUCAACAAUAACACACGUCGACAAGAUUCUGCCGCGUUUUUCUUUUUGAUUUCUUUCAGACUGAUGAUCUCGGGACCCAAGACCAAGACAAGGACGACCCCAAAGACGAUUUGAAGACGAGUGACCGAGCCCCAACAGAGAUGAAGCCAGAGACGACGACCGCCCUGUGAGGAGAAGAAACUUUAUUGAGAUUUUACCGGAUGCACUGAAUUGGUGCUUCAACGACAUCAAGCAGAUUCAGACAGGAUGGACCAGAGAUGACGGGAGGCAGAUCCAGGACCAGUGCAUGACUCGUGAGACCAUGCAAUUAACACAAGAGCCAUCUCUCCAAGACCCCCGAUCUUAUGAAAGAUCAGAUCAAUAACCAAAUGAAAAGGUUUCUCUGGAUCUGGAGCUGCAUGUUUCUGAUCUGCUGUUGUCGGCCUCAGCGACCUCCAAAGUCUUCAUGUUCUCUCCUUCCUCUCUACCCUCAACCCAACCAGAAGGUUUUUAAAACUUCCCAACAACAGGAAGUUUUUUUCCUUCAC